GGUCUCAGUGCCCUUCAAAAUGGGCCAUGCGCAAAUUUCCUGGGAUCUCUUAUGGACAACUGGCCACAGUCGGAGCCAUAAGAGUAUGCCCUGCUCAGGAAAGGACUCGAAAGAGUAGGAGUAUGGCAGCUCAUCAGACAGAAACCGUCCUUGUUAUAUCUCUUCCGAGAGCAAGGUGUAAGACUUAGUGUUUCUAAGUUUGUAAACACUUUAAAGCCACGCUUCAGCGAGGAUUGAACCAACAAAAGGUCCAAAGAGGAGAGAGUAUACUCUUUCUUCAUUAGAUUCAUAAGAAAUGUUGCAGCUGGAAGACAAGGAAGCUUAACGCUUGGCCAGAUUUUGGCUUUUGCAACAGGUUCUGAAGAUUAACCAGUUCUUGGUUUUGAAAUUGAACCAACUAUCCUCUUCAGUGAACUCUCAGGCGACCUGCCAACUGCAUCAACCUGUAUCAAUCAACUAAUUCUUCCGUUGUCAGAUAAAAGUGAGGAAUACAUGAUAGACAGAUUCAUGUGGGCAUUCUCAAAUACCUAUUUGGACUCCAAUAACAUUGAUUGGAAAAAAAAGUUCUUUUGUCACUGACAGUGUAUUUCUGUAUUAUUUUCCAGUUUUCCUUGGUUGAUUAAUGGAUUUUUCGUUUGUACAGACACGUUUUAUGGAAAACGUAGCAUUUUUGUCAAAUAUCUUAUUUUUUUUCUCAAUUGACUUAGAAUUUUGGACUACAAUGUAAACCUUUUC